rnacentral:rRNA from 1 species
GUGGGGUAACCGCAAGGAGCCAGCCGUCUAAGGUGGGACAGAUGAUUGGGGUGAAGUCGUAACAAGGUAGCCGUAGGAGAACCUGCGGCUGGAUCACCUCCUUU